GGCGGCACGCUUAACACAUGCAAGUGGAACGAAGUAGCAAUACUUAGUGGCAGACGGGUGAGUAACAUGUAGGUAUCUGCCCUUUGGCCUGGAAUAACACGAGGAAACUUGUGCUAAUACCGGAUAAGUCUUUACGGAGAAAGCUUUAUGCACCAUUGGAUGAGCCUGCGCUUGAUUAGUUUGUUGGUGGGGUAAUGGCCCUCCAACGCUGUGAUCAAUAGCUGAUUUGAGAGGAUGAUCAGCCACAUUGGGACUGAGACACGGCCCAAACUCCUACGGGAGGCAGCAGUGGGGAAUCUUGCACAAUGGAGGAAACUCUGAUGCAGCGAUGCCGCGUGAGUGAAGAAGGCCGUUGGGUUGUAGAGCUCUUUCGUCGGGGAAGAAAAUGACUGUACCCGAAUAAGAAGGUCCGGCUAACUUCGUGCC
rnacentral:rRNA from 1 species